AUCACUUUUCACCUUAAUAGCAACACACACCUCAGUGGCAAAGAAAAAGAAGUGUUCAGCAUAGCCCUACCCAUGGAAGAACGUAACGUGCAACGGCUGGAAAUCUACUUGACGACUCAGCAGAACAGAGGACGACAGUCUUAGGAAAGAAACAAUUUGAAGCCCACAUAAGCCUUCGAGUUCGGUCUGGAGAGGAGCAAAAUAAACCGAUAGGUUUGAGAUAGAAAGUCAAGAGGCUUACCAAAAGGAGAUGGAAGGACGAUGGAACGGUGACUUGACUAAGAUCGACAAUGGCAACAGCUUCGAGAGAUCAGGGCCUUCGGUGCUUGUAAACCGAGAGACACGAUAGAGCAAUAAUAGGGUCUGUGUUUUGAAAUCGUAGAGGGAGAGGCAACAUAUAUAGACAAACAGGAAUUGUUUGACAUGUUCAACUUGAAGACGAUCACUGGUUUCCAUAGAUACAUGCAAUUCUGCUAGGUACAUGACAAUUGGCGCACUAAGAUGACAUGGCGGGAGCUUUUUUAUUAAAAAAUAAAUUUUAAAAAAUGAAGAGAAGAUGCGAAGAGAAGAAGAUUGGCCGAUCUCCUCGGCCAUUUUCGUCUGUGUCUCCACUUGAAAAUACGAUGGGAAUCUCUCAGCCAUUUUCAUCUCCCCUCUGCCGCAGAUUGGCUGAUCUCCUCUCAGUUUGCCAACCAAAGGUUUUCGUCUCCCCUCGUUCCUCCCUCCUCUGUUCUUCAGAUUGGCCAAUGUCCACCGCAACCCACCUCCUAAGCGUUAGAUCCUGAAGGUUGGCUGCACUCCUCCACGGCUCCACCACUCACGUGAACUCCUUUGUGUCGUCUCUGGUAGGAUUCUUACUUGGGUGAAGGUUGCACAUGAUGCAUAUUGGAGGUUUUAUUUUCAAGCAAGUUCAACCUCAUCAAUAGUCACCCAAAUCCACAAUCUCGGGAUCAGAACGAAGGAAGCUGUUUAUUCGUUAGAGAAAAAGUCAUACUAGGCUUUUUGAGACAUGUAAUAUUUGUUGUAAUAUUUAUUUACUUGUGUUUCAUUUGUUGUAAUAUUUGCCAGUCAUGAACUCAAUUCAAGAACUAUUGUUUCUCAUUUCAA